GGUGCUCUACCGCCAUUGCUAGCCCAUUGUAGUAUUGAGCUCGUCCGAAAGCGAGUUAACGAACAUUCGUACGAGAAGCUGCUAACAGCCGAAGUACGCAAAUUGGGCACGUUCGUUGGCUCAUUGGCUCGAUCGGAGCGGAGUACUUAAAUAUAACGUUGUGUCCGGUUUUGAGCCAACAUCAUUCCAUAACUGAGCGUUCUCAGCCGCAGUCGAGUUGUAGCAGCAGCGGGCCACCUAAAACACCUAACUCUGUUUUCAAAUAAUCUACAAAGCAGUUCGUGCUUUUCGUGCAAUAAUCUGGUCGCUUUAAUAAUUCGGCUAAAGUUUUAGUAACGAGGCACUACGGCGACGACGACAACGAAGGCUGGUGGUGCCAAAAAGACUUUCUGUACAACGAAUUUCGGUGGCAGCAACAAAACAACGCAACAGGAAAAACGCGUAAAUCUUUACACAAAAAACUUGUUUCCCUCGAAUUUGGCUCGCAAAACAUACAACGGAAAUGUAAAUUAUUCGCCCCAAAAAAUUUUGCAUUUGAAAAGGGGUAAACGUAAAAAAGUUGCGGUAAAAAGAAAUAAAAAACAUACGCGUAAAAAAUUACUUUAAAAUAACUGAUAAAGGCAAGAGACUUUCUAACCUCAUAUCAAAAAUAUUUAAACUAAAAGUAUAAAAUUACGAAACAAAAUUUAUUUAGUCUUGUGUUGAGACUUUAUUUUAUUUGUUUUUAUUUUUUCAAAUUUUGUUGAGUGAACUCCAAACCUCGCAGCUUAAAACACACAAAGACGCGUUAAAUUUUGAGAUCUAUCAUUAAUUUGAGCAACACAUUUUCCAGAACCCACAGAAGUCAGCGCUACAACAAAUCUAAGAAAAAACACAAAAAUUAAUAACUAUAGCUAAAAUAUUGGCGUGAAAAGUUUAACGCUCAAUUUUGUAAAUAUCCCGCAAUCUCACAUACAUUUGCGGCAAAUAAACAGCGAACUGUUGCGCUUUUGAACGCGCCUUUGGAGGGACCUUUUUCCCUUUUGAAUGCUAUUUAUAACCGUUAAUUCCAAUAAUAAAUAGUUGAUGGAAGCCACCAAAGCACAAUACUUGGUCAAUUAGUUUAAUCAGCUUUAAAUAGAAAUCUAAUUUCAUACUAAACCUGAGAACGACAUUAGAACGGUAAACAGAGAGUGAGGAGCGAGCAAGAGACUUCAACAAACGCAUUAAAAUUUAAAAGGCUUGUGAUUUACUUGGGCUGACAAAAUGACAGGUUUCAGCAACGGAGGUUUCGAAAACGAUGAGCCG